AUCGAACGCUGGCGGCAGGCUUAACACCUGCAAGUCGAGCGAGCGGCGGACGGGUGAGUAAUGUUUGGGAAACUGCCUGAUGGUGGGGGUUAACUCCUGGAAACGGUAGCUUAUACCGCAUACCAUCUGAUGUGCCCAGAUGGGCUUAGGUAGUAGGUGGGAUAAUGGCUCAACAGGGCGACGAGCCUUAGCUGGUCUGAGAGGAUGACCUGUCACACUGGAACGGGAACACGGUACAGAGUCCAACAGUAGGCAGCAGUGGGGAAUAUUGCACAAUGGGGACAAGCCUGAUGCAGCCAUGCGGCGGGAGUGAAGAGGGCCUUCGGGUGGUAAAGCACUUUCAGCAGGGAGGCGGUACUCGCAGAAGAAGCACCGGCUAACUCCGUGCCAGCAGCCGCGGUAAUAC
rnacentral:rRNA from 1 species